GAUGAACGCUGGCGGCGUGCCUAAUACAUGCAAGUCGAGCGAACAGAUGAGGAGCUUGCUCCUCUGACGUUAGCGGCGGACGGGUGAGUAACACGUGGAUAACCUACCUAUAAGACUGGGAUAACUUCGGGAAACCGGAGCUAAUACCGGAUAAUAUAUUGAACCUCAUGGUUCAAUAGUGAAAGACGGUUUUGCUGUCACUUAUAGAUGGAUCCGCGCCGCAUUAGCUAGUUGGUAAGGUAACGGCUUACCAAGGCAACGAUGCGUAGCCGACCUGAGAGGGUGGUCGGCCACACUGGAACUGAGACACGGUCCAGACUCCUACGGGAGGCAGCAGUAGGGAAUCUUCCGCAAUGGGCGAAAGCCUGACGGAGCAACGCCGCGUGAGUGAUGAAGGUGUUCGGAUCGUAAAACUCUGUUAUUAGGGAAGAACAAAUGUGUAAGUAACUAUGCACGUCUUGACGGUACCUAAUCAGAAAGCCACGGCUAACUACGUG
rnacentral:rRNA from 1 species